AAUUSGCCUUAYUCUACGGGAGGCAGCAGUGGGGWAUUUUGGACAAUGKGGGCAACCUGAUCCAGCCAUGCCGCGUGCGGGAAGAAGRCCUUCGGGUUGUAAACCGCUUUUAKUCGGRAAGAAAAAGGGCGAGGCUAAUACCUUYGUCACUUGACGGUACMGGCGGAAUAAGCACCGGCUAACUACGUGCCAGCAGCCGCGGUAAUACGUAGGGUGCSAGCGUUAAUCGGAAUUACUGGGCGUAAAGCGUGCGCAGGCGGUUCGUUAAGUUCGUUGUGAAAGCCCCGGGCUCAACCUGGGAACUGCAAUGGAAACUGGCGGGCUUGAGUGUGGCAGAGGGGGGUGGAAUUCCGCGUGUAGCAGUGAAAUGCGUAGAGAUGCGGAGGAACACCGAUGGCGAAGGCAGCCCCCUGGGCCAACACUGACGCUCAGGCACGAAAGCGUGGGGAGCAAMCAGGAUUAGAUACCCUGGUAGUCCACGCCCUAAACGAUGCUCACUAGGUGUUGGGGAAGGAGACUUCCUUAGUACCGCAGCUAACGCGUGAAGUCGACCGCCUGGGGAGUACGGUCGCAAGAUUAAAACUCAAAUGAAUUGACGG
rnacentral:rRNA from 1 species